UGCAUUCUGUAGGGGCGGCUACUGUAGGAGAGGCGGUCGGGUUUCAUGUAGCAUGGCCCAAAAGCCUUAUAUUGUUUGCCCCUGAGGUUGGUUCGAAAAAACCUGGCAUGUUUGGAGAUGAGGCGACGCCAAAAAACCAAGAUUGUAGAAAUAAUUUGGAGUUACCAAACAUCAAUAAGAGCCAGCAAUGUAGACUAGCAGUGGGAUCAGUCAAUA